rfam:Aedes albopictus isolate Foshan contig38027, whole genome shotgun sequence.
UGUUCUGUGGCUUAGUUGGUUAAAACGACGGUCUAGCGUAUAUGGAAUCGUGGGUUCGAAUCCCACCAAAACCU